CCUACGGGGGGCAGCAGUGAGGAAUAUUGGUCAAUGGACGAGAGUCUGAACCAGCCAAGUAGCGUGAAGGAUGACUGCCCUAUGGGUUGUAAACUUCUUUUAUAUGGGAAUAAAAUGUUCCACGUGUGGGAUUUUGUAUGUACCAUAUGAAUAAGGAUCGGCUAACUCCGUGCCAGCAGCCGCGGUAAUACGGAGGAUCCGAGCUUUAUCCGGAUUUAUUGGGUUUAAGGGGAGCGUAGGUGGAUUGUUAAGUCAGUUGUGAAAGUUUGCGGCUCAACCGUAAAAUUGCAGUUGAAACUGGCAGUCUUGAGUACAGUAGAGGUAGGCGGAAUGCGUGGUGUAGCGGUGAAAUGCUUAGAUAUCACGAAGAACUCCGAUUGCGAAGGCAGUUCACUGGACUGCAACUGACACUGAGGCUCGAAAGUGUGGGUAUCAAACAGGAUUAGAUACCCGGGUAGUC
rnacentral:rRNA from 1 species